GAUGAACGCUGGCGGCGUGCCUAAUACAUGCAAGUCGAGCGAACGGACGAGAAGCUUGCUUCUCUGAUGUUAGCGGCGGACGGGUGAGUAACACGUGGAUAACCUACCUAUAAGACUGGGAUAACUUCGGGAAACCGUAGCUAAUACCGGAUAAUAUUUUGAACCGCAUGGUUCAAAAGUGAAAGACGGUCUUGCUGUCACUUAUAGAUGGAUCCGCGCUGCAUUAGCUAGUUGGUAAGGUAACGGCUUACCAAGGCAACGAUGCAUAGCCGACCUGAGAGGGUGAUCGGACACAAAGGAACUGAGAGAAGGUCCAGACUCUUAAGGGAGGCAGAAGUAGGGAAUCUUCCGAAACGGGCGAAAGCCUGACGGAGCAAAGCAGCGUGAGUGAUGAAGGUCUUCGGAUCGUAAAACUCUGUUAAUAGGGAAGAACAUAUGUGUAAGUAACAGUGCACAUAUUGACGGUACCUAAUCAGAAAGACAAGGAUAAAUACGGG
rnacentral:rRNA from 1 species